UUCAAAAGUUCGAAUUGCAUGGAAUGAUACUCUUGAAAAGCUUCUUACCUAUGAGUCAUAAAAUAAUUGUGAAUUCAGAAGAUAAUUUAAAACGAGAUGACUUAAUGAAAGUUUGGGCUGGAAAAAAAAUUUCUUCCAAAUCUGGCUGCAGGAAGACCAUUAGUAAAAUCUAGAUCUGAGCUGGUGAACCUGAAGACUGAAGUGUUUGUUGAAAAAUAGUGGUCCAUAUUUCUAAAGAGGUAAU